UGCAGACAGAGCUACAGGUGCAAGAUGGGGAGGGAAGUCUCAAAAAGAAGCCAGGGCCCAGAGAGGGCAGGAGACCAUCUGAGGCCACACAGCCACAGCUGACAAACUCCGAGUUGGAACCUAGGUCUCCGAUUCUGAACCAGCACCUUUCCAAUGGGUGGCAAGUGCAUAGCGUGGGCAGGACUUCCUAACCCCGCAGAGAUCCCACUCUCCCCACCACCGCCUCGCACCCAGCCUCAGCUCCUUUAUAGCACGCGUCCAGGCAGCUUCCACCAGGCAUUCAAGGUUGGUUCCAGAGAGGAAAACUAUGUGCCAUCCCUGCUCAACAUUCAAAAGGGCCUCUCCCAAAUGUGUUCUCGGUGGCAGCACCUGCUAAAAUUCUGGAUUUUAAGGGGUCCUUCCCUGCCCAUUAUCACUGCAACCUUGACUCCUCCCCGACCCCACACCUGUGGCCUGGUGCCAAAGGCUUCUGCAUCUUUGGCAGAGAAACGUAUGUCCUCCCCAACCCCUUGGAACUGGUUGCAAACUUGGGUGGGGUUGUGCAUUGGGGUGGGGGUAGAAGGACUCUAACGUUUACAGUUUUAAAAUCAGAUUUUCAAAGUCUGUGACUUCAAAAGGAACAGAGUCACUGAUUUGCUUCAUAGUAUGUGCCAUGAGUCAAGCAUUUUUCUGUACUGUGCCUGGUGCUGUGGGUUAGAGCGCUUCUCUGGGGCCAGCCUGCUGGGUUCAAAUUCUGACUCAGCAAUGUGUUGUUACCUGUUUGACCUGGGACAAGUGACAUCACCUGAAAACCCUCCAGAAGUGUUGGCUGUACUUAUCCUCUCAUUCCUUUGAAAUAGCCCAAUCCAAGAACUACUGUGUCAGAGAGGAUGCUUUUUGGCUGCAGGAAACAGAGCAUCUACAAGUAGUUUAAACAGCAAAGAGGUUUGCCAUUUCACACCAUGAGCAGUUCGGAGAAACCACUCAGAGUUAAUUUUGCAUCUCAAGAAAGUUCUCAAGGACUCAGUUUUUAUCUCUCUGCUCUGCUGUCUCCUUAGCCAGCUGACAGACAUAUUGGGUGGACCAACAGACACCCC
rnacentral:lncRNA from 10 species